ACAGUAUAUAAGAGUUUGAUCCUGGCUCAGGAUGAACGCUGGCGGCGUGCUUAACACAUGCAAGUCGAACGAUGAAACAGAGCUUGCUCUGUCGAUUAGUGGCGAACGGGUGAGUAACACGUGAGUAACCUGCCCUUGACUCUGGGAUAAGCACUGGAAACGGUGUCUAAUACCGGAUACGAGCUUCAGCCGCAUGGCUAGGAGUUGGAAAGAAUUUCGGUCAAGGAUGGACUCGCGGCCUAUCAGCUAGUUGGUGAGGUAACGGCCCACCAAGGCGACGACGGGUAGCCGGCCUGAGAGGGUGACCGGCCACACUGGGACUGAGACACGGCCCAGACUCCUACGGGAGGCAGCAGUGGGGAAUAUUGCACAAUGGGCGCAAGCCUGAUGCAGCAACGCCGCGUGAGGGACGACGGCCUUCGGGUUGUAAAC
rnacentral:rRNA from 1 species